rnacentral:piRNA from 1 species
UUCUCCUAUUCCACUAACAAGUGAACUCAGG